rnacentral:lncRNA from 1 species
AAGACAAUGCAACUUCCAAUAUGAGGGGAAAAAAAGGUAAACCAAUCCGAGGAUCAAGCAAUACGUGAAAAUAAACACAUCACCAUAUUGUAAAGUACUGAGUUAUUAACCCAACCUCUUAGAGCAGUCUGCAAUUAGGAUCCUGCCUCUUCCAGUGUUUUCCACACUUGAUCAUGAGCUGGCAUCCUGUGAUUCUACCGCUCAAGAGAAUUGAGCUAAAAGCAUGAGAGCAGGUAUAUAUUUCUCUGACUACAAACAAUUGUUUAUAAAACAUUGCUGAAAGCCGUGACCAUAAAUAUAAAAUAAGAGAAUAUAUUUCUUUCUAAAGUUGGACUGCCAAUAUACAUUGUAUAAUCAAGACCAUGGAAAACCUUUACAAAGUUACUGAUCUUGAAAAAGUUUUUCAAACCUAACCUGAAACUGAUACCACAGAUAAUCCAUCUACAUGGUUGAAAAAUCACGUAUAUAAUCAUCCCACAUUUCAGAAGCAAUAUCAUCACGCAA